rnacentral:rRNA from 1 species
CCUACGGGUGGCAGCAGUAGGGAAUUUUCGGCAAUGGGGGGAACCCUGACCGAGCAACGCCGCGUGAACGAAGAAGUUAUUCGUAAUGUAAAGUUCUUUUAACAGGGAAGAAAGAGCAAUUUGACGGUACCUGAAGAAUAAGCUCCGUCUAACUACGUGCCAGCAGCCGCGGUAAUACGUGGGGAGCGAGUGUUAUCCGGAUUUAUUGGGGUGAAAGGGUGCGUAGAUGGCAUUGAAAGUCUUUUGUAAAAUUGCUGGGCUAAAACCAGUAGGGCAAAAGAUACUGGAAAGCUAGAGUAUGACAGAGGCAAGUGGAACUACAUGUGUAGCGGUGAAAUGCGUAGAUAUAUGUAAGAACACCAGUGGCGAAGGCGGCUUGCUGGGUCGAUACUGACAUUGAGGCACGAAAGCGUGGGGAGCAAACAGGAUUAGAUACCCCUGUAGUC